UUAAAUAAUUGCAGGCUCAAGCAAAAUCAAAUAAAAAUAGCCGUUACAACAGCGACGGUUUCAAACUUAUCUUCUAUAACAGGAUUAAGGAAACACUGGUCAAUCCAAGAUUGAACCAAUAGAUAAGCCAUCCAACUAACAAAGCUGCAAUGGUAGUAUUCUUUCCCUGGCUUCAAUCAUUCCGGUGCCUUAAAAGGUUAGGCGAGGGGCCCCAAACAUCCAAUCAAGAAAUGCAGCCAUCUAUUUGGUCCUUGAUCACAGAGGACCCCAUUUUUGGUGGCCAGUCCAUCUCAAUUGCUACAUCAUGUGAGUCCAUGCAUCCUGGCAAUCCAAUCAGUGGACCCUCACCCAAUUAAAUGUGCCACACCAGCAUUGAAGUCCUAAUUUUCCAACCACCAUGCAACCCUCAGCAGUGGCUGACUUCUUUUGUUCAAGGAAGUUAAUGCCUGCAUUACUUGUUUGUGAAUGAGAAAGAUUUAAGAAAAUGACUGAUGGUUAAGACUUUCAAGGGACUGGAAUGUGGUGCAUUUCUACUGGCCUAAUGAUCUGUUUAUUAAAAUUUCUAUGAAUUCCAUCUCUUUCCUCUCCUCAUCCUCUCUCUC
rnacentral:lncRNA from 1 species